AACGAACGCUGGCGGCAUGCCUAACACAUGCAAGUCGAACGAGACCUUCGGGUCUAGUGGCGCACGGGUGCGUAACGCGUGGUAACCUGCCCUUAGGUUCGGAAUAACUCCCCGAAAGGGGUGCUAAUACCGGAUAAUGUCUUCGGACCAAAGAUUUAUCGCCUUUGGAUGGGCCCGCGUUGGAUUAGCUAGUUGGUAGGGUAAAAGCCUACCAAGGCGACGAUCCAUAGCUGGUCUGAGAGGAUGAUCAGCCACACUGGGACUGAGACACGGCCCAGACUCCUACGGGAAGCAGCAGUGGGGAAUAUUGGACAAUGGGCGAAAGCCUGAUCCAGCAAUGCCGCGUGAGUGAUGAAGGCCUUAGGGUUGUAAAGCUCUUUUACCCGGGAUGAUAAUGACAGUACCGGGAGAAUAAGCUCCGGCUAACUCCGUG
rnacentral:rRNA from 1 species